UACGUAGGUGGCAAGCGUUGUCCGGAAUUAUUGGGCGUAAAGCGCGCGCAGGCGGCCUUUUAAGUCUGAUGUGAAAGCCCACGGCUCAACCGUGGAAGGUCAUUGGAAACUGAAAGGCUUGAGUACAGAAGAGGAAGCGGAAUUCCACGUGUAGCGGUGAAAUGCGUAGAGAUGUGGAGGAACACCAGUGGCGAAGGCGGCUUUCUGUCUGUAACUGACGCUGAGGCGCGAAAGCGUGGGGAGCAAACAGG
rnacentral:rRNA from 1 species